rnacentral:rRNA from 1 species
UACGUAGGGGGCAAGCGUUGUCCGGAUUUAUUGGGCGUAAAGAGCGUGUAGGCGGCCAAGCAGGUCCGCUGUGAAAACUCGAGGCUCAACCUCGAGAGGUCGGUGGAAACCGUUUGGCUAGAGUCCGGAAGAGGAGAGUGGAAUUCCCCGGUGUAGCGGUGAAAUGCGCAGAUAUCGGGAAGAACACCCGUGGCGAAGGCGGCUCUCUGGGACGGUACUGACGCUGAGACGCGAAAGCGUGGGGAGCGAACAGG